rnacentral:rRNA from 1 species
AGCCUGAUGCAGCAACGCCGCGUGAGGGAUGACGGCCUUCGGGUUGUAAACCUCUUUUAGUAGGGAAGAAGCGAAAGUGACGGUACCUGCAGAAAAAGCACCGGCUAACUACGUGCCAGCAGCCGCGGUAAUACGUAGGGUGCAAGCGUUGUCCGGAAUUAUUGGGCGUAAAGAGCUCGUAGGCGGUUUGUCGCGUCUGCUGUGAAAACUGGAGGCUCAACCUCCAGCCUGCAGUGGGUACGGGCAGACUAGAGUGCGGUAGGGGAGAUUGGAAUUCCUGGUGUAGCGGUGGAAUGCGCAGAUAUCAGGAGGAACACCGAUGGCGAAGGCAGAUCUCUGGGCCGUAACUGACGCUGAGGAGCGAAAGCGUGGGGAGCGAACAGGAUUAGAUACCCUGGUAGUCCACGCCGUAAACGUUGGGAACUAGAUGUGGGGGCCAUUCCACGGUCUCCGUGUCGCAGCUAACGCAUUAAGUUCCCCGCCUGGGGAGUACGGCCGCAAGGCUAAAACUCAAAGGAAUUGACGGGGGCCCGCACAAGCGGCGGAGCAUGCGGAUUAAUUCGAUGCAACGCGAAGAACCUUACCAAGGCUUGACAUAUACGAGAACGGGCCAGAAAUGGUCAACUCUUUGGACACUC